GCCAGACUCCUACGGGAGGCAGCAGUGAGGAAUAUUGGUCAAUGGCCGAGAGGCUGAACCAGCCAAGUCGCGUGAGGGAAGACGGCCCUACGGGUUGUAAACCUCUUUUGUCGGGGAGCAAAGCGAACCACGUGUGGUUCAUUGAGAGUACCCGAAGAAAAAGCAUCGGCUAACUCCGUGCCAGCAGCCGCGGUAAUACGGAGGAUGCGAGCGUUAUCCGGAUUUACUGGGUGUAAAGGGAGCGUAGACGGCGCUGCAAGUCCGGAGUGAAAGCCCAUGGCUUAACCAUGGUACUGCUCUGGAAACUGUGGAGCUUGAGUGCGGGAGGGGCAGGCGGAAUUCCUAGUGUAGCGGUGAAAUGCGUAGAUAUUAGGAGGAACACCGGCGGCGAAGGCGGCCUGCUGGACUGCAACUGACGUUGAGGCCCGAAAGCGUGGGGAGCAAACAGGAUUAGAUACCCGAGUA
rnacentral:rRNA from 1 species